rfam:Triticum aestivum genome assembly, contig: Triticum_aestivum_CS42_TGACv1_scaffold_621614_7DS
ACAGUACUCCCUCCGUCCAGAAAUACUUAUCGUUGAAAUGGAUAAAAGUGGAUAUUUGUAGAACAAAAAUACAUCUAGAUACAUUCUUUUUUUGACAAGUAUUUCCGGACGGAGGGAGUACUAU